rnacentral:rRNA from 1 species
GACGGAGGGUGCAAGCGUUACUCGGAAUCACUGGGCGUAAAGGGCGCGUAGGCGGCCUAGCAAGUCUGGUGUGAAAGCCCAGGGCGCAACCCUGGAAGGGCACUGGAAACUGUUAGGCUUGAGUUCCGGAGAGGAGGGGGGAAUUCCCGGUGUAGCGGUGAAAUGCGUAGAUAUCGGGAGGAAUACCGGUGGCGAAGGCGCCCCUCUGGCCGGAAACUGACGCUGAGGCGCGAAAGCGUGGGGAGCAAACAGG